GAUAAGAAACCUCUCGGGCACAGAAUCGUAAGCCCGACGACCUCCCACGGCCGAGUGGACAUGAUGCCGCCAGCGGUGGACUAGCUUUAUGCCGGCGGAAACGGAAAUGCCUCCGCUCGCUUCUAUGUAGGUUGUGCUAACUUUACCAGCGCUUAAUUGCCGAUUUCCUCAUGAAAAAACAAGCAUCAAACACCUUUGUCUCGCUGCGAAAUAAGCCGUUUCACAGAAGAAAAGCUUCGGCUUAUAGAACUCGGACCCGACCAGCCGAACGUCGCCAUAAAGCAGCAAACGAAAGACAGACUGGUUGCUCUCAGACCAGUGUAUUUUGUUUGGCUCCUCUUUCAGAUGCCGGACACCAAACAAGCCUGAAUUCAGACAGGUAGGUGAAGAUGGAGGCGCCCCCCUUUGUGGCCCCUUAAAGCAAACUUCUUGGACUGUAUGUUGGUGGAGAGUCGGUCUCACUGUAGACACACACGGAGAGAAACAACGUUACCACACAGACAACAGAGUCACCGACAGGAACAAGCCGCGGAUGUGCAGCGCAGCUGACCGUGUGCAGAACCAUCCCUCAUCUGUUCAU